AAAAGAAGUUAGCUUGUUACACUGAAAGUUGUGAGUAUGAGCAAACUUGGAUUUAGAAACAGCAAAAGGUCAGGUAGUUCUGAGAGCAUGUAAGAGUUGUACAUCCUGUGGCUUUUUUUAGUUCUAAAGAAAGCAGUUUCUUAUAAAAGAGCUUGGUCACCGGUUGAGUGCACUGCACUCUAAUGACAAGGAGAUAUCAUCAGUUCAUUUCCUGAAUUUCAAGAACAAGAGGGAGACUACACGUACUACAAAUACUGAAACUGUGUUCUCUCAGCUUAGGGAACAGAGCUCUUCACAGUCUGACCUUAGCCUCUCUUUAUAGGCUUGUCUUCUGCUACUGUCCUCUAUUUAAUCACCAAACUGUACUACAUACAAGACAACAGAAUACCCUGCUUCCAUGGCCUGACUCAGGAUCCUCUCUUCACUCAACGAACCAGCCCUUCUGUCUCCAACAGGCUAAAUACUUCUAAAGGCUUAGUCAGAGGCAAUUUUUCUUCAUUCCAAGUUCUCUAGAAUUGGUGCUAGGCCUAAAAUGAGGUGAAGAUAUCAGGGAAGAGAAUUCAUGAAAGUGACGUGCAUACUUAAGACCAGAAAAUAUUUGCCUUGAGAAAAUUGUCACAAGAAUUCUCCAUCUAUGCCAUGUUUAGCAGUGUCCGCUCAUUUUAUUUGUGCUUUAUUACAUGAAACUAGGCCUCACCUUUCUACCCAUUUUAACAACAAACCUGCCUGCUAUUCUGGAAAGAAGUGCCACUCUCUGUAAAGAGACCCUUCCUAACAAAAUGUGUAUGUUGUCCCUGUCCUCAGCGAAUGUUUUCCUGGAUGCUGAGACAUACAUCCAGUGAUCAAGACCUAUAUAACCUGGGAGAAGUCAUCAAGCCGUCUACCAUGAUCAAGAAUCAAUUAGAAGAUAACUCAGAUCAUGUGAUGUUGCCUAGCCAUGAGAUACUUGAACUGAAUAAGGUGAUCAUUAAAAUGAAAACAGCUGUGGAUGAUCCCUUCCACGGGCGAAAAUCAUGUGUUAUCAAAAUGCAUAUAAUCUUCGGAACCUUCCCCCAGUAUUCCUCAAAGGAGCAUGCGGAUGCUUUUCCUUGCUGCUGUGUGUAGAGAGAAAUGGAAACGCAGAAACUUCACGGCCUACAGGAGAGUGCAAUCGAGCUAAUGAGAUCUGGAUAUUUCAAGCAUAAUAACAACCUCCCAUCCAGGCUAGAGGAGACACAGAAGAUACAGAACCACAGGAAAAAUGAAUUCUGAUCAAUUUCAUUUUAGUUUAUAUUAAAUACAUCCUGAAACAGCCCAAGGUUAUUUCUGAAGAAUUUGAUUUUAUAAUUGCGUUAUAUAUGUUUAACUAUAGAUCUAAUUCUCACAUUGUUUUGGAGUGUUCAAAACCGAUACUAAAUCUCUCAAGAAAUCUCAUUAACCAGCGCCAUCAUAAAAUAUAAGUGAGAUUUCUGUGGGUUCUUCCCACUGCAUCUCCUUUCAAUUACCAAUUUGGCAAGUGUGAAAAAUGGAUGGGUUUUAGAAAAUGACUUAAGACGAUAGUAACUUAACCAAGUGGAGACUUCAAUGUUGACUGCUCUUUUAGAAGUUAUUUCUCUUUUGGAGUAAAGAAAUAUCUCAAGAACUUGGUAUCUAUAUAGCUAAAAAGGCUUCCACAAAAUGUCUCCA
rnacentral:lncRNA from 1 species